UACGUAGGGGGCAAGCGUUGUCCGGAUUUAUUGGGCGUAAAGCGCGUGUAGGCGGCCAGGUAGGUCCGUUGUGAAAACUCGAGGCUCAACCUCGAGACGUCGACGGAAACCAUCUGGCUAGAGUCCGGAAGAGGAGAGUGGAAUCCUGGUGUAGCGGUGAAAUGCGUAGAUAUCUGCAGGAACACCCGUGGCGAAAGCGGC
rnacentral:rRNA from 1 species